rnacentral:ncRNA from 1 species
GCUCCGUUCUCCCCGCACAGGAGGACGGUCAGGGGAACCGGCGCUCUCUGCCCUGACUGCACCGGAUCCUCGUCAACGGCCGACCGGGACCGCACACCCGCCGGCCGGGAUUGCUCCGGGCUGCGGUGCCGGGAGGGUUGAGGGUCCCUCCCAGGCAC